rnacentral:rRNA from 1 species
AGAGUUUGAUCCUGGCUCAGGACGAACGCUGGCGGCGUGCUUAACACAUGCAAGUCGAACGAGAAUCUACUGAAAGAGUUUUCGGACAAUGGAUGUAGAGGAAAGUGGCGGACGGGUGAGUAACGCGUGAGGAACCUGCCUUGAAGAGGGGGACAACAGUUGGAAACGACUGCUAAUACCGCAUGACGCAUAGGGGUCGCAUGAUCUUUAUGCCAAAGAUUUAUCGCUUCAAGAUGGCCUCGCGUCUGAUUAGCUGGUUGGCGGGGUAACGGCCCACCAAGGCGACGAUCAGUAGCCGGACUGAGAGGUUGAACGGCCACAUUGGGACUGAGAUACGGCCCAGACUCCUACGGGAGGCAGCAGUGGGGAAUAUUGGGCAAUGGGCGCAAGCCUGACCCAGCAACGCCGCGUGAAGGAAGAAGGCUUUCGGGUUGUAAACUUCUUUUAAGAGGGAAGAGCAGAAGACGGUACCUCUAGAAUAAGCCACGGCUAACUACGUGCCAGCAGCCGCGGUAAUACGUAGGUGGCAAGCGUUAUCCGGAUUUAUUGGGUUUAAAGGGAGCGCAGGCGGACCUUUAAGUCAGCUGUGAAAUACGGCGGCUCAACCGUCGAACUGCAGUUGAUACUGGAGGUCUUGAGUGCACACAGGGAUGCUGGAAUUCAUGGUGUAGCGGUGAAAUGCUCAGAUAUCAUGAAGAACUCCGAUCGCGAAGGCAGGCAUCCGGGGUGCAACUGACGCUGAGGCUCGAAAGUGCGGGUAUCAAACAGGAUUAGAUACCCUGGUAGUCCGCACAGUAAACGAUGAAUACUCGCGGUUUGCGAUACAGUGUAAGCCGCAGCGAAAGCGUAGUAUCCACCUGGGAGUACGCGGCACGUGAACUCAAGGAAUGACGGGGCCCGCACAGCGAGACAUGUGUUAUCGAUGAUACCGCGAGACUACCCGGCUUGACUGCAGCGACGAUGCAGAGACGCAUCUUUCUCGACGCUGCCGAGUUCUUGCAUGGUGUCGUCAGCUCUCUCCGGUGAAGUGUCGCUAUGCAUACCGAGGGCCACCCCUCUACUCUCGUUUGACACUCAGGUGAGUGCUGGGCACUCCGGGGACACUGCCAUCGUAAGAUGUGAGGAAGGUGGGGAUGACGUCAAAUCAGCACGGCCCUUACGUCCGGGGCUACACACGUGUUACAAUGGGCGGUACAGAGGGCAGCCACUGCGCGAGCAGGAGCCAAUCCUCAAAGCCGUUCUCAGUUCGGACUGGAGUCUGCAACCCGACUCCACGAAGCUGGAUUCGCUAGUAAUCGCGCAUCAGCCAUGGCGCGGUGAAUACGUUCCCGGGCCUUGCACACACCGCCCGUC